GUGAAUCAUCAAAUUUUUGAACGCAAAUUGCACUUUCUGGUAUUCCGGAAAGUAUGCCAGUUUGCGGGUCAGUUAAAUAAAAAUCGGUGUUGUUGCUGCCUUUCGUGGUGACGCGUCGGAAUUGGGUCGUCUUACCUUCGGUUAUGUGACUUAGAAUUUUUGCAUGAUUUUCUAACGUAUUUAAAUAGCUUAUGUACGUUUGAGAUAUCGACAU
rnacentral:misc_RNA from 1 species